rnacentral:lncRNA from 1 species
CAUGAGCGGACCAAGCAUAUUGAGGUCGAUUGUCUUCGUACUAAGCUGACUAAUGGGCCGAUUUCUCUCUCUCAUGUCUCCACUUCUCACCAGUUGGCUGAUGUCCUCACCAAGCCUUUGCCUGGACUGUUCAUCAUCAUCUUUUGGCCAAGUUGAAGGUGGUCUUCCCCUCCAACUUGAGGGGGGGAGUGUUGAGCUAAUGGACUACCUAGCAUCUAAGCCUAAACACAUACAUUGAUUUUGUGCUGUAUUUUUAUUGUAUAUUGUAUAUCAUUUGGGCUACAUUUUCAUUUUGGGCCUGUACCAACUUUUAGCCCAUUCAUUUUUAUUUGGCUGACCCAAUGUAGAAGGG